rnacentral:rRNA from 1 species
UCGGCUUAGAGUUUGAUCAUGGCUCAGGAUGAACGCUGGCGGUGUGCCUAAUACAUGCAAGUCGUACGCAGGUGCUUGCACCUGAGUGGCGGACGGGUGAGUAACACGUGGGUAACCUACCCAGAAGUGGGGGAUAACAUUUGGAAACAGAUGCUAAUACCGCAUAAAAAUCAAACCACAUGGUUUUGAUUAAAAGAUGUUUGUAUCACUUCUGGAUGGACCCGCGGCGUAUUAGCUAGUUGGUAAGGUAACGGCUUACCAAGGCAAUGAUACGUAGCCGAACUGAGAGGUUGAUCGGCCACAAUGGGACUGAGACACGGCCCAUACUCCUACGGGAGGCAGCAGUAGGGGAUCUUCCACAAUGGGCGCAAGCCUGAUGGAGCAACACCGCGUGAGUGAAGAAGGGUUUCGGCUCGUAAAACUCUGUUGUUAAAGAAGAACGUAUCUAAGGUAACUUAGGUAGUGACGGUAUUUAACCAGAAAGCCACGGCUAACUACGUGCCAGCAGCCGCGGUAAUACGUAGGUGGCAAGCGUUAUCCGGAUUUAUUGGGCGUAAAGCGAGCGCAGGCGGUUUUUUAAGUCUGAUGUGAAAGCCUUCGGCUUAACCGAAGAAGUGCAUCGGAAACUGGGAGACUUGAGUGCAGAAGAGGGCAGUGGACUCCAUGUGUAGCGGUGAAAUGCG